AAAUCAUACUUUUCUCUUGUUUUCUAUAUAUAGGCUGGGGAUGUUUUUAAAAUCCUCCCACCAACCUGCCAAAUCACAGGAUGGAGUUCUCAGUGUCUCCUUUCCAUUGAAUGUUUUGCCACAUGCAAACUUUCAUCUUUUCAGUAUACUUUUGGAUUCUGCUAGGCUUACUUUCAAAGGUUAAAAGAAUGGAGUGUACUGGAGUCAGGAAAGCUCAGUGUUGGUUCACCAGCAUUGCAUUUCUGCACCAGUCAUAGCUGAUAAGUUCAAAACCACAUCAGGUAGGUUUCCAGGGGUGCAAGCCACGGAGACCUGGUACACUCUGCUGAUUGUGAAGUGAAGCCUAAUCCUGAGUUAAAACACAAAGUUUUACAGAUGUUGUGAUGAGAAUUUUUUGUCUGAUUUUAACUGUAUCCACUGUCACAUUUCAGAAACCACUGUUAACC
rnacentral:lncRNA from 1 species